rnacentral:rRNA from 1 species
UACGUAGGGACCAAGCGUUGUUCGGAUUUACUGGGCGUAAAGGGCGCGUAGGCGGCCACCGCAAGUCGGUUGUGAAAUCUCUGGGCUUAACCCAGAAAGGUCAACCGAUACUGCGGGGCUAGAGUGCAGAAGGGGCAACUGGAAUUCUCGGUGUAGCGGUGAAAUGCGUAGAUAUCGAGAGGAACACCUGCGGCGAAGGCGGGUUGCUGGGCUGACACUGACGCUGAAGCGCGAAAGCUAGGGGAGCGAACGGG